rnacentral:rRNA from 1 species
UACAGAGGUCUCAAGCGUUUGUUCGGAUUCAUUGGGCGUAAAGGGUGCGUAGGCGGCGCGGUAAGUCGGGUGUGAAAUCUCGGAGCUUAACUCCGAAACUGCAUUCGAUACUGCCGUGCUUGAGGACUGGAGAGGAGACUGGAAUUUACGGUGUAGCGGUGAAAUGCGUAGAUAUCGUAAGGAAGACCAGUGGCGAAAGGCGGGUCUCUGGACAGUUCCUGACGGCUGGAGGCACGAAGGCCAGGGGGAGCAAACGGGG